rnacentral:rRNA from 1 species
AAAUGAAUUGACGGGGACCCGCACAAGCGGUGGAUGAUGUGGUUUAAUUCGAUGCAACGCGAAAAACCUUACCUACACUUGACAUGCCAGAAAUCCCGCAGAGAUGUGGGAGUGCCGCAAGGAAUCUGGGCACAGGUGCUGCAUGGCUGUCGUCAGCUCGUGUCGUGAGAUGUUGGGUUAAGUCCCGCAACGAGCGCAACCCUUGUCACUAGUUGCUACAUUUAGUUGGGCACUCUAGUGAGACUGCCGGUGACAAACCGGAGGAAGGUGGGGAUGACGUCAAGUCCUCAUGGCCCUUAUGUGUAGGGCUACACACGUCAUACAAUGGUCGGUACAGAGGGUUGCCAACCCGCGAGGGGGAGCUAAUCUCACAAAGCCGAUCGUAGUCCGGAUCGCAGUCUGCAACUCGACUGCGUGAAGUCGGAAUCGCUAGUAAUCGUGGAUCAGCAUGUCACGGUGAAUACGUUCCCGGGUCUUGUACACACCGCCCGU